rnacentral:rRNA from 1 species
GCGGGUGCUACCAUGCAGUCGAACGGUGAAGCCCUUCUCGGUGUGUCAGUGACGAACGGAUGAGUAACACGUGUAUCAUCUGCCCUGCACUCUGGGACAAGCCCUGGAAACGGGUUCUAAUACCGGAUAUGACCUUCCUCUGCAUGGGGGUUGGAGGAAAGCUCCGGGGGCGCCUGAUGAGCCCGCGGUCUAUCUACUUGUUGGGGGGGGAAUGGGCUCCCCAGGGGACCACUGGUAGCCUGGCUGGAAAGGCCAACGGCCACCCUGGGACUGAGACACGGCCCAGAAUCCUACCGGAGGGAGCCGUGGGGAAUAUUGGACCAUUGGCGACAGCCUGGAGCCGCGACUGCCCGUGAAGUAUGACGGGCCUUCGGUUGGAAACCUCUUUUUGCCAGGAAGAAGCGCAAGUGACCUUACCUGCAGAACAGCUGACGGCUAACUACGUGCCAGCAGCCGCGGUAAUACGUGCCAGCGCGAGCGUUGUUACGAAUUAUUGGGAGCUAAAGAGCUCGUUACUGGCCUGUCGCGUCGGACGUGAAAGCUUCGGGACUUAAGUCGUGAGUCUCGCAUUCGAUACGCGUGAGGAAUGGAGUGUGGAUAGUGGCAGAAUCUGAGAUUCUCUGGCAGUAGCGGGUGAAGAUGUUGCACGGUAGUCAGCGAGUGAACAUCGCGGUAGAGGAUAGUGCGAGAUACUCACUCGGAUCGUUGACUUGACGCCUCCACGUGAGGCUCAAAACGUGGACGCAUGCGAUACACGGAAUAGCGAUGAGCGCAGGCUAAGCACGACUCAGAUACCCGUGGGGAGAUCUACGCUCGUUAG